AUUGAACGCUGGCGGCAUGCCUUACACAUGCAAGUCGAACGGCAGCACGGGAGCAAUCCUGGUGGCGAGUGGCGAACGGGUGAGUAAUAUAUCGGAACGUGCCCAGUCGUGGGGGAUAACGUAGCGAAAGCUACGCUAAUACCGCAUACGAUCUAUGGAUGAAAGCGGGGGAUCGCAAGACCUCGCGCGAUUGGAGCGGCCGAUAUCAGAUUAGGUAGUUGGUGAGGUAAAGGCUCACCAAGCCGACGAUCUGUAGCUGGUCUGAGAGGACGACCAGCCACACUGGGACUGAGACACGGCCCAGACUCCUACGGGAGGCAGCAGUGGGGGAAUUUUUGGACAAUGGGCGCAAGCCUGAUCCAGCAAUGCCGCGUGCAGGAUGAAGGCCUU
rnacentral:rRNA from 1 species